rnacentral:tRNA from 1 species
UGGGGAUAUAGCUCAGUUGGUAGAGUGCUUGCCUUGCAAGCACUAGGCCCUGAGUUCGAUCCCCAGCACAA